UACGGAGGGUGCAAGCGUUGCUCGGAAUUAUUGGGCGUAAAGGGUAGGUAGGUGGUCUCAUUUGUCAGAGGUGAAAGCCUUGGGCUUAACCCGAGAAGUGCCUCUGAAACGGUGAGACUGGAGUCCUGGAGAGGGUCGUGGAAUUCCCGGUGUAGCGGUGAAAUCGUAGAGAUCGGGAGGAACACCAGAGGCGAAGGCGGCGACCUGGACAGGUACUGACACUCAACUACGAAAGCGUGGGGAGCAAACAGGG
rnacentral:rRNA from 1 species